UUUUAGAUAAAUGUAUAUAGCUAUAAUACAUACAUAUAAUUUUCUAGCCUGCUCCGUGCCAUUUGACUUGCGAUAAUUUCAAUAAUUUCUUAACGCAAACUCCAACGAAACAGCCGGAUAAGACGCAAGGCUCAGUUCUUGGUUCUUCAAACUGCGACAGCAGAAAAUAUUUUGUUUCAACUGUUACCGCGUCGAGAAACGAAGCAGCACUGAAUUGCAAGGCGUGGAACAUGACACUUUUAGCUGUCACUUCAGUCGAGGAAUUGAACUGUCUUGCCAGUUUCAAAGCUGGCACGUAUUGGACGAGCGGCUCGAAUGAAGAUUUGAACUGCGACUCUGAAAAAAAGUACGCGUGGUGCUCGACGGGUUACAACGCUUCUUCGUCCCUCAUCCUCUCUCCCGACUUUUGGCUCAACGGUACCGCGUCCUUUCUCGAGCGUUGUCUGGCGCUCGUCAACUCUGACAACCCCAAAACGCAGGGGUUGGUGCACAGAAAAUGCGACGACGCUCUCAACUACAUCUGCCAAUACCCUGUUGAAUGUCCUCGACCUCAGCUUUUGACGAAAAA